rnacentral:tRNA from 1 species
GGACUCUUAGCUCAGUUGGUAGAGCCGUUGACACUUAAUCAAUGGUCCAGGGUUCGAGUCCCUGAGAGUCCA